rnacentral:rRNA from 1 species
CCUACGGGAGGCAGCAGUAGGGAAUCUUCGGCAAUGGGCGAAAGCCUGACCGAGCAACGCCGCGUGAGCGAUGAAGGCCUUCGGGUCGUAAAGCUCUGUUGUUAGAGAAGAACAAGUACGAGAGUAACUGCUCGUACCUUGACGGUACCUAACCAGAAAGCCACGGCUAACUACGUGCCAGCAGCCGCGGUAAUACGUAGGUGGCAAGCGUUAUCCGGAAUUAUUGGGCGUAAAGCGCGCGCAGGCGGUCUCUUAAGUCUGAUGUGAAAGCCCACGGCUCAACCGUGGAGGGUCAUUGGAAACUGGGAGACUUGAGUGCAGGAGAGAAAAGUGGAAUUCCACGUGUAGCGGUGAAAUGCGUAGAGAUGUGGAGGAACACCAGUGGCGAAGGCGGCUUUUUGGCCUGUAACUGACGCUGAGGCGCGAAAGCGUGGGGAGCAAACAGGAUUAGAUACCCUGGUAGUCCACGCCGUAAACGAUGAGUGCUAGUGGUUGGGGUUCCGUACCCUCAGUGCUGAGUUAACUACAUUAAGUACACUCCGCCCGUCGGGGAGGUACGGACCGCCGAACGGUUAGGAAACGUACGAAAGGAAAGUUAGACGGCGUGAGACGUGCCGACGGACGACGACGAGGGGAGGUUAGG